AGAGUUUGAUCAUGGCUCAGAACGUACGCUGGCGGCACGCCUAAUACAUGCAAGUCGAACGAAGUAGCAAUACUUAGUGGCAGACGGGUGAGUAACAUGUAGGUAUCUUCCCUAUGGUGAAGAAUAACACGAGGAAACUUGUGCUAAUACUUCAUAAGUCUUUACGGAGAAAGCUUUAUGCGCCAUUGGAUGAGCCUGCACUUGAUUAGUUUGUUGGUGGGGUAAUGGCCUACCAAGACAAUGAUCAAUAGCUGAUUUGAGAGGAUGAUCAGCCACAUUGGGACUGAGACACGGCCCAAACUCCUACGGGAGGCAGCAGUAGGGAAUCUUGCACAAUGGGGGAAACCCUGAUGCAGCGAUGCCGCGUGAGUGAAGAAGGCCCUUGGGUUGUAAAGCUCUUUCGUCGGGGAAGAAAAUGACUGUACCCGAAUAAGAAGGUCCGGCUAACUUCGUGCCAGCCGCCGCGGUAAUAC
rnacentral:rRNA from 1 species